rnacentral:rRNA from 1 species
UAGUAAGUGUUUAAGGGCACAUGGUGGAUGCCUUGGCAUCGAGA